GAUCAUGGCUCAGGACGAACGCUGGCGGCGUGCCUAACACAUGCAAGUCGAACGGGGUACCCCGGACCGAGGCUUCGGCCGAGGGAAGGGACUACCUAGUGGCGGACGGGUGAGUAACGCGUGAGUAAUCUGCCUUCAGGAGGGGGAUAACAGCCGGAAACGGCUGCUAAUACCGCAUGAUGUCAGAGGGGAGCAUUUUUUUCUGACCAAAGAUUUAUCGCCUGAAGAUGAGCUCGCGUCUGAUUAG
rnacentral:rRNA from 1 species